UACGUAGGCAGCGAGCGUUGUUCGGAGUUACUGGGCGUAAAGGGUGUGUAGGCGGUUGUUUAAGUUUUGUGUGAAAUCUCCCGGCUCAACCGGGAGGGUGCGCCGAAUACUGAAUGACUAGAGUGCGGGAGAGGAAAGUGGAAUUCCUGGUGUAGCGGUGAAAUGCGUAGAUAUCAGGAGGAACACCGGUGGUGUAGACGGCUUUCUGGACCGUAACUGACGCUGAGACACGAAAGCGUGGGUAGCAAACAGG
rnacentral:rRNA from 1 species